rnacentral:rRNA from 1 species
UUUAGAGGAAGUAAAAGUGGUAACAAGGUUUCCGUAGGUGAACCUGCGGAAGGAUCAUUAUUGAAAUAAACUGAUGGGUUGCUGCUGGUUCUUUAAUGAACAUGUGCGCACUUGUCAUCUUUAUAUCUCCACCUGUGCACCUUUUGUAGACCUGGACAAGUUUCUUAAUGCUAGCAUUGAGGUUUUGGGAUUGACUUUGUCUCUCCUUAUGUCUCCAGAUCUAUGUUUAUUCAUAUACCCUAAUGUAUGUUAUAGAAUGUAAUAAAGUGGGCCUUUGUGCCUAUAACACUAUACAACUUUCAGCAACGGAUCUCUUGGCUCUCGCAUCGAUGAAGAACGCAGCGAAAUGCGAUAAGUAAUGUGAAUUGCAGAAUUCAGUGAAUCAUCGAAUCUUUGAACGCACCUUGCGCUCCUUGGUAUUCCGAGGAGCAUGCCUGUUUGAGUGUCAUUAAUAUAUCAAUCUCUUAAGCUUUUGCUUGUUGAGUGUUGGAUGUGGGGGCCUUUUUGCUGGUCUUUUAAAAGAGAUCAGCUCCCCUAAAAUGUAUUAGCGGAACAUUUUGUUGACCGUUCAUUGGUGUGAUAAUUAUCUACGCUAUUGACGUGAGGCAGUUCAGCUUCUAACAGUCCAUUGACUUGGACAGUUUUUCAUUAAUGUGACCUCAAAUCAGGUAGGACUACCCGCUGAACUUAAGCAUAUCAAUAAGCGGAGGAAAAGAAACUAACAAGGAUUCCCCUAGUAACUGCGAGUGAAGCGGGAAAAGCUCAAAUUUAAAAUCUGUCAGUCUUUGGCUGUCCGAGUUGUAAUCUAGAGAAGUGUUAUCUGCGCUGGACCGUGUACAAGUCUCCUGGAAUGGAGCGUCAUAGAGGGUGAGAAUCCCGUCUCUGACACGGACUGCCAGGGCUUUGUGAUGCGCUCUCAAAGAGUCGAGUUGUUUGGGAAUGCAGCUCAAAAUGGGUGGUAAAUUCCAUCUAAAGCUAAAUAUUGGCGAGAGACCGAUAGCGAACAAGUACCGUGAGGGAAAGAUGAAAAGAACUUUGGAAAGAGAGUUAAACAGUACGUGAAAUUGCUGAAAGGGAAACGCUUGAAGUCAGUCGCGUUGUCCAGGGAUCAACCUUGCUUUUGCUUGGUGUACUUUCUGGUUAACGGGUCAGCAUCAAUUUUGAUUAUUGGAAAAAGGUUAGGGGAAUGUGGCAUCUUUGGAUGUGUUAUAGCCCUUGAUUGUAUACAAUAGUUGGGAUUGAGGAACUCAGCACGCCGCAAGGCCGGGUGUUUCACCACGUACGUGCUUAGGAUGCUGGCAUAAUGGCUUUAAUCGACCCGUCUUGAAA